GUGGGCAGUACUAAGUUUGUGGAUUGGGAAUAAAAGAGGCUGUAUGUGCCAGUCCAGUCAGUUCCUCCUUAACCCUCAAAGUGAAGUGUCGUCUCAUUAUUGGGGGAGGAUUUAUUGUAUGCUGUUCCAGUUUUACUGCUAGGAGUGUAAACCUAUUCGCAUGGUUUUUCCUAUUCGGCUGUAUACAACAUUGAUAUGCUUGAGAGCAUUCAUAUGCUCCUAUGGUUCGGUGGUUU